CUAGUUCUUGCCAGUUCUUCUUGAACUUCUUGGUAGAUAUCAAGUCUGUAUUCUGUGUCCAUGACAGUUUGUCGAGACUUCACUCACCUCAGAUAUCAGAGCUAGUUUCUUCUUUGUUAGAGUGUGGAUUAUCCCUCUGCUUGGAAGUGUACUAGCACUUUAGAGAUUGCAGAUUACCGUCUUCUAAAUUGAUACUUCUUUUGUUACAAUAUUGGAG
rnacentral:lncRNA from 1 species